UGAUCUUUCUCCUCUACUGUCUCUGUUUAUGGCUUCACGACUGAUUUAGCAAACCUAUCUAUCUACAAGUCAGUUAUAAUUUGUGACUCCUUAUUGUUGAUGUGGAAAAAAAAAAUUGGGAUCACUUAGUUUCACCUUAAGGUAGAUAUUUUAAAUGGUCAGUGAAAGAGGUGCCUGCUUCUCGGGAACAGUAAGUGAGCCUGCGAUGACCAACUCAAACAUCUGCCACGUACCCCUGGUGCAUGAUCUGUUGCUAUUCUGUGAACAAAAGUAGCUCAGGCCCGAUCUGGGUCCACUGUUUAUGUAUCCCUCCUUUAGUUUGUUACAGAAAAAGCCAGAAGUAGAUGGGGUUCAGUUUCUUUCUUCAUGUGCUUCCAUCUAGUGUCUAAGUAGUUGCUACUAAUAUUAAAACAUUUCUUAGAUUUGUUAAGAAUGGAGAGAAUCUCUCUCCUAAAAGCAAACAAACAAAAAUCGAAACCAGACCAACCAAGCAAACAAAACCCCAGUAAUUCCCACAGAGAGUGAAACACAUUGUGCUCUGUUAGUGAACUGUACGUGGGGGAAGGCACUGGAAGGAGAUCAAAGGCAGGGUCAGUGCUUAAAAACAGUGUGCACACAGCUCCAAAUGGCCACUUUACCCUGACCACAACCACCUAAAAACUGUUCAGAGUUGCAGUUUUACUCUCAGCAUGCAAUCUGGAUAUACCCCAAAGCUCAAAUUACAGCCCAGGAGACUGCAAACCCGCAUGGACAGUAAGGCAUGCUUAAAGUCAGUUAAAUAAAUCCCAGCUAAUGUAAGCACAGUCAACUGCCCCUGCUCUUAAAGCAAGAAGUACUAGCAAGUAGGGGUAGACAGUUGGGCCGUUCAACCACAUGCAAACUCUAAAAUCUGGGUUGAAGUCCUUGAAAUGAAAUUCUUAGCAAUGAAGAGUCCCAGUGUGAAAGAAGAUACUUGCCACCUCUUCCUCAGCACCUUUAUUCAGGAUGGUAUGUUUUGAAAAGCAACGGCUAGGAUGUAUUGAUUGCUCUGAAAUCUUAGAAAUUCUGACGCAGAGCUCCAUGUCUCUUUGUUACAGGGAAUCAGAACUGCGUGCCCAUCUUCUGUACAAAACAGCUGAUAGGACUUGUAGUUCUGUUGAGCUCUAGCAAUAUAUAACGUGAGAAAAAAACAUAUACCUAUAAAAAAAUGCACAGUUUGGCUUUCUCUGAGUAGGAAUAAGAAACAAAAUGAACAACAUGUCAGUUCUUAACUCUUAUAAUACUUUUUUUUCUUUUUCUUUCUGAAUGCAGAUGCAGGACAAUAUCUUUGUGGCACUAUAUCUCUUUGUUAUCUACCUUGAAAGUGUGUAAGAUGUUCAAAACAAAGUCCAGUCCAUAUUUUCAAGCUUUACAGUUUCUUAAAAUUUGGACCAAAUUGGUUGCGUUUUGCACAGGUUUGAUGCUAUUGAUUGUGAUAGAGGAGGAUUGAGCUGGGGAGCCAAAAUGCAGGACAAUGAGAAAAGAAUGGAAACUUUACAGGGAUGGUUUGUCUGGAUGUUGGGUGUCAAAAUCAUUGAGCAAACAUGUUGCUCUGAGUUGGGUCUAAGACCUGUGUUGUAUGCAGAACGCCCUGAUCCAAGUGGUGAGCCCUACGAAGGGAAGGAGGGAGAACAGAGCUAAAGUGGGGUUGCUGUAAGGCUGCAUCUCUUCCAGCUGACAGCCACUUCUAGCUGUGCUUGUCACAAUGCCAGUCACAAACCUCCCAAAAAUUCCAGAAGUGCCCAUGGAACAGCUCUCAUGUCUGAGUUACACAGUCUUAAUGUGUUGUUUCCUGAUUAGUAUCUUCUAGAAUAUCUCAUUUGUCAUUCUUGAGUGUUGUGGAUUCCACCUGGGAUCAAGUUGUGUCGCACUAAUGAUGAAGAUGAUUUAAUUACUUAGCUGACAAUGUUAUUAAUGAUGAGCAUGAGAGAAGAGAAUUGGGCCUUGGUGCCUUACUCCCAUUUCAGGACUUGUCGUAACUGUAGGAUUUUAACAGGGGGAAAAUCUAUGUUGGUGAGUCAGGGAAACCUGUCCAUCUCUGACGGAAGUAUGAGCUGGAGCACAGCACUGGGAUUCUCUGUGGAGUAAACCAUGAGAAUCACCAGCCAGGGAAGUCCUUUGGGAUCUGUUGGGACUUCCUAACAGUGUGGCAACAAUUGUAGGAUGUAUUAAGGGUCAUUAUUUUGUAAAAAUAAAAAAGUUCUAUUUGCUAUCCAUGCAGUCACAUUUGUCAUCUUUUAUUAAAAGCCUCAGUGUGAAGUUCCUGACUUGAAAUAAGAACUGGAGAAUGGAGUGAUGAGAGAAGCAUGGAUUUUAGCUGUAGAGAGUAAAGUUUUUUUCUGAGCUCAGGAACCCCCACAGUAUUUCAAGGUACCUUCAGUGCCUCUAGCACCAGAGGGUUCAUUCAUCUGUAACUGAUGUAAAUGGACUUGCCAGUAUUUCUGAUAUUUCUCUGCUCAGUGGCUUCUCAAGGAAGCAGGAGGAAGCCGCUGACCCCGUGGUAGGAAUCAGCCAUGCCCCAGGACAUGGGGGAGAGAUGUUGGCUGUGGGGUGGCUGUGAGGGUCCCGUAAUUUGCUCUAGGGAUGUUAUGAGAUGGGCUCUUCAGUGCCUGGGUUAAAUUCCCUGAGUGAUAGGUGAUGGCAGCUGGGCAGAGUCAGCUCAAUGUGGAGGACAAAUUUCAGCUGCUACCAAAUGGACAGCAUGGAAACAAGGCUCAUUUGCAAGACAGCAAGAGAUUUUAUGGGCAAAAACUAGGAAAUUAGCUUCAGCUGGAUAGAAAUACUGUCAUUUGGUGAAUCUUGGGUUUUCUUUGUCUUAGUAAAGCAGAUUUUGCAGAUUCCAUCCCACUCCUGAGAGCUUGUCUUUCAUGCUUUUUCGUCAUGUAAAUUGAAAGCUUUAUUUCAGGCAAGAAAAAUCAGAAUGUGAAUGAGAAUGUAUAUAUUUUGUAUUUUUAUUUGUAUUUGCAUUCUGUAAUUCCAUGAUAUAUCAGUAGAAACACGUUUCAGGGAAGCACAAGCACCACCAUAAUAUGUAACAGUUGCAAUAUCUCACAUUCCACUUUUUAAAUCAAAUGUCCUGUUUUGUACUGAAUGAAGUAUCUACUCCUCUUUUCCAUAGCAAAAUGUUUUCUUAUUCUAACAAACCCUCUUGAUACCUUUCCAUAACAGGCACACUUAUGGCUAUGGGACCAAGCACAAAAACAUAAAACUACAAAUUAAGUUUAAAAUGAAAUCUGAAUGUGCAGAACAUUACUUGUUUUCCAAGACAAGUACCAGAUAAACAAAGCAUCUUAGAGAAUUAUAAUUCGGAAUUCAAGGGGGAAAAAAAAUGAAAAGAAAACUUUAAAAUUUUAAAAGCUUUCUGCAAGUGUAACUUUGUUAAACUUGGUCAUUUUCUUUAGAGGCCUAAAAGCAGGAAUAAAAUCAGAUGUGACACAGCCCCCUGCCCUGCUCCUUUCCAGAGCCACUCUGUUCUGCUCCUGUCUGCCUGCAGUGGGCUGUGUAACUCUGGAGAGAGCUAGAAGUAGCAGGUGAGAGGGUUAAAUAAGCUUCUUAAACAAUUUCCAUCCUGCCACUGCCCUAUGUUAAAAUCCCUGAAUUACUCACCAGCAAAACUGUUUAUUUCAUUAUUAAAAUGAGGCUGCGGGGCUCUCCCUUCUCCCACCCACGCAUGUGUUCACGGAAGGAGAACUACUCCCACAUGAUUACAAGGUUUGCUAUUAAGUGUGAACUUCAUAUUUAAUUGUAAUUGCUAGCAAAAUAUAAUUUAACAGCAAAGUAUGCUGAAUUUGUAACAAAGUACCCCUUUUAUUUUGAGCAGGAAUAUGGAUGCUGCCCAAAUGUAUCCGCAUGGUUCCAAUUAAGGGGAGGAAUGUUUAAUGUAAAACUCAACUUGAUGAAAAUAACUGAAGUUUCUGACAAACCAAUAAAUUGGAGUCUAGAAAGCUCUGCGUAUACAGUACAGUCAGGGAGGGGCAACACCCGCUGGGUCAUCAAUUUUGGUGAAGACUUCCUGUUCGUUUAUACUAAAAUAAUACUAUGUAGGUAAUUCAAUUUCUCCCCAGCUGUAAACAUAGACUGAAAUGCUGUACGCAGAUCUGGCCGAGGGUGGAGGGGGGCUGGCACUCCUUGCUGCAAUUGCCAGGCUGAAAUUGUGAGAAACUGAGCCUUGGGUUCCUUUUAUUUUUUCCUUUUUAUUUAUUUAUUUAUUU